rnacentral:tRNA from 1 species
GGGGUUGUGGCUCAGUGGUAGAGCGCACACCUAGCAUGUGCGAGGCCCUGGGUUCGAUCCCCAACACCACA